rnacentral:lncRNA from 1 species
UUGGGCCUUGGGUGUUCCCAUCUGUAAAAUAGACUUGGAACCCCAGGCUCCUUACCUUGGCAGGGCCCUGAGAGACUGCGUUCCUAGACUGCCCCUGAAGCCAGUCCUGCCGCUAGCACCCCUGCCACCCCACCCCCACUGCCGUGGGGACCAGACACCCCCUCUCCUGGGAGGCCACCUGCCAGUGUUUAUUUAGGCAGGCGCCUUCCGGUAUCAGUGUGCCCGCCCAGUGACCAAACAGCCCCAUUUUCGAAGCCCCCACACUGUCAGGGGAAGCAGAACUGGACACAGAUACCUUGAGCACGGUGAGGUGAGGGCUGGGCCACCCACAGGGACCUAGGCCUGUGAAGGAGAGAGUCAUUGUGAAAUCAUCGUUUUUAGAAAAUAGGUUUUUUUUCUGCAUAGAAGGCAGCCCAGAAUGGUGGCCCACACUAUAAAUAAUCAACCAAGCCACACAGGUCUGUAUGUUUUUGCUCCGCACCAGGGGCUGCCUUAAGCACUUUAACCUUUAGGUACAGUUGUCACACCCAUUUUAGAGAUGGGGGGAAAACAGGCCGGCAGGGUGGCUCAGGCCUGUCAUCCCAGCACUUUAGGAGGCCGAGGCAAGCAGAUCACUUGAGGAUCAGGAGUUUGAUACUAGCCUGGCCAACAUGGCGAAACCCCGUCUCUACUAAAAAUACAAAAAUUAAGGCGUGGUGGUGGGCGCCUGUAAUCCC